ACAUCUAACCCAAAGGGCAAGCCACAGACCAUUAUCUCUCAGCCUGGACUCAGCGAGUGUCUCUUAAUUGGUCCCUGGCUCUGGUCUGUUCACAACAGCAACCAGAGAACAUCCUUCUUAUGUGCACGAUUCUCUAGAGGCUUCCCAACAUAUUUAGAAGAAAAUCCAGACUCACUACCCAAGCCUACAAGUCAGCCUUCACCCUCCUCGCCAACACCAUUUCUGCCUCAUCUGCACAUUCAUCCGUGGCUUUCUUAUGCUUCCUUGAAUGGGACUCUACAGAUCAGAAUCACAUCUGCUCCUAGUGAAAAGGAAAAGCCUGGUGACUAUUUCUGACAAACAAAGCUUUGCCAUUCUUCUGGAGAAAGAGGCCUCACAAAGAGACCCUGACAGAUGAAUGCCAUGUGGAGAGAGAAACUUUAUGGAUGAGAAUCAAGCUAAAAGCACCAAAGCCUCCAACAGAUGAGAGGCCUUUUGUUCCUUCUGGUCCAGCCCAACUGACAGGUAAAAGCAGCUGCACCAUUGACCAAGUCAGUACCAUAGGGGCUGAAAAAUUGUUCAGUUGACUCAUAAAAACAUAAGCAAAUAAACCAUUUUUAUUUAAGCAUGUUAAGUCUUGGAGUCACUUGUCAUGCAGCGGUAGAUAAGUGAAACACAUUGAGAUACCAUGGACCCCCAAUGUGACAGUAUUAGGAGA
rnacentral:lncRNA from 1 species